AGUUACAAAGAGAAUCCAGCCUUCAACAGCUGUUGGGGGACGGGGGGAAGUUGUAUGAGUACAUGAGAGACACUUUAAGCAGGCUCACAGGAAUAGAUUUGUGAAUGCUCUCUGGAACCCCAGAAGAUAAAAGAAUAAGUAACUAUGACAGUCAUUUGUAACAAUCGUCUCUUUCCCAAUACACUACCAGCAAGCCGACCCACACCGCCUCCAGUCUUAGUGCCUUCCCGGUCACGCCCUCCCUUCUCCUGAAGGGGGCGGAAUCUCUAAUCCACCCAAGACCCGGUUCCUCGAUUCCCAUCCUUACGACCGAGGAAAAAAGAGUAAAUUUUCCUAUUAUAGCCUUCUCUCGCACCUUCCCCGCUUCCCACCAGCCGUCUCCACUGUCCUCACCGUCCCCAUCCUCAUCCAUGGCGAAAUCUUCGCCCCCAGCCUCGUGAAGAUCUAGCACGUCCGCCAUCUCGCCUUCGAUCGAGAUCUCGUCUGUGCCGCUCAGACACUAGGUACCUCGGGAAACUGUCGCAGAGGGGAAAGGUCGCCAGUCAAGCUGACCAAUCAAAGGCUAACUCUAAAUCCCUCCCUCUGCACGGUAAAAACACGCAAAUUGGGGCGGGCCUAGUGCGGAAAGAUACCGGAAGUGUUUCUGUGGCCAUCUUGAACAGAUCGCAAGCUAAAUCAUCCAUCUUAGGAGGUACAGACUACAGGGGGCCGUGGCUUCCUCUUAACCGCGGCAGCUGCUGAUAAAUACUGUACUAUUA
rnacentral:lncRNA from 1 species